rnacentral:lncRNA from 1 species
GUUCUUUUUUUUUGUUAAUACAAAUAUAUGCUAACUAAAUAAUGUUUACAUUCCUUGUAAGUCGUUAGUACUUGUAAUCAACACAUCUUCAUUUCUUUUUUUCAUACUUAUUCAUUCAUUGAACAGACUCUGUACUAGGCUCUAGAAAUACAGCAGCUUUUCAUGAAACAUCAUUGUCAGCCAAAGACCCUGUCAUCUUCUUUAAACAGCUUCUAUAAGAUUCUAUAACACAGACAUUCUGAAAGUCGUCUUCCAGAUGAGAGAUGUCAUUGAGUUUGAGAGGAAGGCAGACCCAGAGCCCUGGUCCAGUAGAUGGCUACAACUUAAACCUCCAAGUGGUGAUAUACCUGGUACAAUAUACCAUCCUGGCUGAUAAAUCCAUCUGUCUGAAAACUAACUAUAAAAAAACUUAA